UACGUAGGUGGCAAGCGUUGUCCGGAUUUACUGGGCGUAAAGGAUGCGUAGGCGGACAUUUAAGUCAGAUGUGAAAUACCCCGAGCUUAACUUGGGUGCUGCAUUUGAAACUGGGUGUCUAGAGUGCAGGAGAGGUAAGUGGAAUUCCUAGUGUAGCGGUGAAAAUGCGUAGAGAUUAGGAAGAACACCAGUGGCGAAGGCGACUUACUGGACUGUAACUGACGCUGAGGCAUGAAAGCGUGGGGAGCAAACAGG
rnacentral:rRNA from 1 species